UACAGAGGGGGCAAGCGUUGUUCGGAAUUACUGGGCGUAAAGGGCGCGUAGGCGGCCGCCUAAGUCAGACGUGAAAUCCCUCGGCUCAACCGGGGAACUGCGUCUGAUACUGCUGUGGCUAGAGUCCGGUAGGGGAGCGUGGAAUUCCUGGUGUAGCGGUGAAAUGCGCAGAUAUCAGGAGGAACACCAGCGGCGAAGGCGGCGCUCUGGGCCGGAACUGACGCUGAGGAGCGAAAGCGUGGGUAGCAAACAGG
rnacentral:rRNA from 1 species